UGGGGAAUAUUGCACAAUGGGGGAAACCCUGAUGCAGCGACGCCGCGUGAGCGAAGAAGGCUUUCGAAUCGUAAAGCUCUGUCCUAUGAGAAGAUAAUGACGGUAUCAUAGGAGGAAGCCCCGGCUAAAUACGUGCCAGCAGCCGCGGUAAUACGUAUGGGGCGAGCGUUGUCCGGAAUUAUUGGGCGUAAAGGGUACGUAGGCGGUCUAUUAAGUCAGGUGUGAAAGCGUGAGGCUUAACCUCAUUAAGCACUUGAAACUGAUAGACUUGAGUGAAGGAGAGGAAAGUGGAAUUCCUAGUGUAGCGGUGAAAUGCGUAGAUAUUAGGAGGAAUACCUGUGGCGAAGGCGACUUUCUGGACUUUUACAGACGCUCAGGUACGAAAGCGUGGGGAGCAAACAGG
rnacentral:rRNA from 1 species